rnacentral:lncRNA from 1 species
CAUAUAGUUGACACGUAGAGAGGAUGUCAACAAAAAUGUACAAGUAACUUAAUUGAACUGUGAAUGCAGCAAUAUCCAUCUUUUAGCUUGGACUAAAAUGCAAGGUUGAUGACAAAAUUGUACCUUUUCAGAGAUUGGGAUCGAUUUAGGUACCAAGGCGAUCGCUGUAAGACUAAUGGUGCAAUUUUCCCUAAAUAAUUUC